rnacentral:rRNA from 1 species
AUGGCAACAAAGCAUCACGUAUCGGCCGUGAUCUUUGAUCUGGACGACACCCUCCUGGACACUGAGAGUGUAACAAGAGGCGUCUUGAACGAUUUCCUCGCGACAUAUGGGAAGUCAGCGGACGCGGAAAAGGAGGAGGGGAGGCUGGGGCAGAGUCACAGCGAGUACGCGGCUGGGAUCAUCGCAGAUUACGGGCUGCCGCUCACUCUCGAGGAGUACUCUGAGGCAAUAUUCCCCUUGAAUCUCAAAAGCUGGCAGAAGGCAAAACCACUUCCUGGGGUUAGAAGACUUCUCAAGCAUCUUCACAAGAAUGGAGUACCGCUGGCACUUGCUUCCAACUCCGAGACGAGAAUUAUCCAUCAAAAAAUACUCAAACUAGGAGGUUUGUUUGUUUGUUUUUUUUAG